rnacentral:rRNA from 1 species
UUUUCUGGGGGAGAAUAGGUCGAGAGGAAAUGCUCGUCCGAUGGCGGUACUCCAGGAAUAAGCAUCGGCUAACUUCGUGCCAGCAGCCGCGGUAAGACGAAGGAUGCAAGCGUUAUCCGGAAUUACUGGGCGUAAAGGGCGUCUAGGCGGUUGGGCAAGUCACCUGUGAAAGCCCUCAGCUUAACUGAGGAACGUCAGGUGAAACUGCUCGGCUUGGGUGCAGGAGAGGAGGGUGGAACUCACAGAGUAGCGGUGGAAUGCGUAGAUACUGUGAGGUACCCCGAUGGCGAAGGCAACCCUCUGGCCUGCUACCGACGCUGAAGCGCGAAAGCGUGGGGAGCAAAGGGGAUUAGAUACCCCCGUAGUCCACGCCGCAAACGAUGUUCACUUGGUGUCGGUCAUACAAAUAGAUCGGUGCCGGAGCUAACGCAUUAUGUGAACCGCCUGGGGAGUACGGCCGCAAGGCUAAAACUCAAGAGAAUUGACGGGUCCCUGCACAAGCGGUGGAGCACGUGGUUUAAUUCGAUGAUAAGCGAAGAACCUCACCUGGGCUUGACAUACUAGUGGUAGGAACCUGAAAGGGCGACGACCUCUACCUUCGGGUAGAGGAGCUAGCACAGGUGAUGCAUGGCUGUCGUCAGCUCGUGUCGUGGGACGUAGGGUUAAGUCCCGAAACGAGCGCAACCCUUGUCGUUAGUUGCCAGCGGNUAAUGCCGGGGACUCUAACGAGACUGCUG